rnacentral:rRNA from 1 species
GAUGAACGCUGGCGGCGUGCCUAAUACAUGCAAGUCGAGCGAACAGACGAGGAGCUUGCUCCUCUGACGUUAGCGGCGGACGGGUGAGUAACACGUGGAUAACCUACCUAUAAGACUGGGAUAACUUCGGGAAACCGGAUCUAAUACCGGAUAAUAUAUUGAACCGCAUGGUUCAAUAGUGAAAUACGGUUUUGCUGUCACUUAUAGAUGGAUCCGCGCCGCAUUAGCUAGUUGGUAAGGUAACGGCUUACCAAGGCGACCAUGCGUAGCCGACCUGAGAGGGUGAGCGGCCACCCUGGAACUGAGACACGGUCCAGCCUCCUACGGGAGGAAGCAGUAGGGAAUCUUACGCAAAGGGCGAAAGCCUGACGGAGCAACGCCGCGUGAGUGAUGAAGGUCUUCGGAUCGUAAAACUCUGUUAUUAGGGAAGAACAAAUGUGUAAGUAAAUAUGCACGUCUUGACGGUACCUAAUCAGAAAGCCACGGCUAACUACGUG